GAACGCUUUUGGGGUUUCGGCCUCAAGGGAGUGGCGCACGGGUGAGUAGCGCGUAGGAACCUGCCCUCUUGUGGGGGAUAACCGCGGGAAACUGCGGCUAAUACCGCAUAAGCCGGGUGCUCUGAAAGGGGCGGCCGGGAAAGAUUUAUCGCGAGAGGAGGGGCCCGCGUCCGAUUAGGUAGUUGGCGGGGUAACGGCCCACCAAGCCGGUGAUCGGUAGCUGGUCUGAGAGGAUGAUCAGCCACACUGGGACUGAGACACGGCCCAGACUCCUACGGGAGGCAGCAGUGGGGAAUAUUGGACAAUGGGCGCAAGCCUGAUCCAGCAAUGCCGCGUGAGUGAUGAAGGCCUUCGGGUUGUAAAGCUCUUUCGCCCGCGAGGAUGAUGACGUCGGCGGGAGAAGAAGCCCCGGCUAACUUCGUGCCAGCAGCCGCGGUAAUACGAAGGGGGCGAGCGUUGUUCGGAUUUACUGGGCGUAAAGGGCGCGCAGGCGGUUUUUCAAGUCAGGCGUGAAAGCCCCGGGCUCAACCUGGGAACGGCGCUUGGGACUGGAAGACUGGAGUUCGGGAGAGGAGCGUGGAAUUCCCAGUGUAGAGGUGAAAUUCGUAGAUAUUGGGAAGAACACCGGUGGCGAAGGCGGCGCUCUGGGCCGAGACUGACGCUGAGGCGCGAAAGCGUGGGGA
rnacentral:rRNA from 1 species